AAAAAAAAAAAAAAAAGGGUUUGGCUUCCUUCCAAAAUAUAAGAUGCCAUCCAGUUACCGUCCAAACUGCCCAAGCCUGAGAGACAAACGUGACAACCAUAUGUAAAUCUAGAAAAUUCCUGCAUAUACUCUUGAGUAAAUAUACCCCCGUUAACAUGAGACUUUAUUUUACAUUAUGGGAUCCAUUUCAUGUUAGCAGUGGAUGUACACCUGGUAUAUAUAAACGAGGAAAGUCUUACUCUUCCUAAAUUGGGUGCUGCGUGAAACCACCUAAUUAUUGUUUAAUCUUAAUUUUAAGCAUUUGUAUAUAGGGAUUUUCUUACAAAGUUGUAAUAUAGAUUUAUGAGCAUAUGCGCUAUGAAUUAUGUUCCAUUUUUAAAUGCUCAUGCGCCUGUAUUCUUGUUAAUUGCAAAUAAAAUUCCUUUCUAAUCAAUGAUCUUUAGCUUAAUGGAGUUUGAAAUUUAAGUUUGAAUCAGAGUUAAUUAUACUAAAAAAAUUAAAUUAAAUAAA
rnacentral:misc_RNA from 1 species